rnacentral:tRNA from 1 species
UCCCAGGUAGCUCAAAUGGUAAAGUAUCUGCCUACAAUGUGGGAGACCUGGGUUCAAUCCCUGGAUUGGGAA